rnacentral:rRNA from 1 species
GACGAACGCUGGCGGCGUGCCUAAUACAUGCAAGUUGAGCGCUGAAGGUUGGUACUUGUACCAACUGGAUGAGCAGCGAACGGGUGAGUAACGCGUGGGGAAUCUGCCUUUGAGCGGGGGACAACAGUUGGAAACGAAUGCUAAUACCGCAUAAAAACUUGAAACACAAGUUUUAAGGUUGAAAGAUGCAAUUGCAUCACUCAAAGAUGAUCCCGCGUUGUAUUAGCUAGGUGGUGAGGUAAAGGCUCACCAAGGCGAUGAUACAUAGCCGACCUGAGAGGGUGAUCGGCCACAUUGGGACUGAGACACGGCCCAAACUCCUACGGGAGGCAGCAGUAGGGAAUCUUCGGCCAUGGACGAAAGUCUGACCGAGCAACGCCGCGUGAGUGAAGAAGGUUUUCGGAUCGUAAAACUCUGUUGGUAGAGAAGAACGUUGGUGAGAGUGGAAAGCUCAUCAAGUGACGGUAACUACCCAGAAAGGGACGGCUAACUACGUG